rnacentral:rRNA from 1 species
AUUGAACGCUGGCGGCAGGCCUAACACAUGCAAGUCGAACGAGUGGCGGACGGGUGAGUAAUGUCUGGGAAACUGCCUGAUGGAGGGGGAUAACUACUGGAAACGGUAGCUAAUACCGCAUACCAUCAGAUGUGCCCAGAUGGGAUUAGCUUGUUGGUGGGGUAACGGCUCACCAAGGCGACGAUCCCUAGCUGGUCUGAGAGGAUGGCCAGCCAACCUGGAACUUGGACCCGGUCCCGGAUCCUACGGGGGGGAGCCGUGGGGAAAAUUGCAAAAUGGGGGGCAGCCCGAUGCCGCCCUUGCGCGGGUAUGAAGGAGGCCUUCGGGUUUGAAAGUACUUUCCGCGGGGAGGCGUUACCCGCAGAAGAAGCACCGGCUAACUCCGUGCCAGCAGCCGCGGUAAUAC